rnacentral:rRNA from 1 species
UCAUUACCGAGUUUACAACUCCCAAACCCCUGUGAACAUACC